AGGUAGCUUUUAGACACAAAUACUGGCAAACUAAGAUAUUACCUGCAUUUCCCUUAUGAUGCUAAGAAAUCUUGUUUAGAAAUACAUGCAUGAUUGUGUGUUUUCUCUCAGCUAGGAUGAUGGCUCUGUUCAAGGAUGAUUGGAGGAGAGAACAGUUCCAGAAUGAAGGACUUCAGGAAAAAUAUGAUGAUCUUCAAAAGAAAGUCG